rnacentral:lncRNA from 9 species
GAAUACAUAGCACAAAAAAAAAAAAAAAAAAGAAAAAAAGAAAAGAAAAAGAAAAAGAAAAAAAACAAACCCCCAAACCAAAAAUCAAACAAACAAAAAAAGCAUGUCAACAAGAGAUCAAGCCAUAACAACACUUGGGACAUUUAGGGAACUGGAAGAAGAACUGAAGAGCUAGAUCCUAGGCUGCAGAGAAGGGAGUACUAGGGAAUAAAGCCAGUAACGUGUGCUGGGAUUAGAUUUGGCAGGUGUUUGAAAAACAAGAUCCUUGCCUGUAAGAAUUGGGCAAUGGUUGGUGGCCAUGCAGCAGCUCACUCUGGAAGCAGAGGGGAGGGUGUUCCAGAAGAAAGAGAGGCCAGUAAAAGGGAGAAUGUGGGGGCUCCUAUAACCAGUAACUGAAGCAGAAGAUGAGAAUGGUUCCAACUGCUCUCCUGGGACACCUCUGCUUGGCCUGAGUGGACUUGGGGGCUUCUAAGAAAUGAGGAAAAUCACCCAGAGGAAGUGGCAGGAGGUUUGGGGAAAGAAGAGGAACUACUGAAGAGAAUGGCGGAAGGACCUGACAGCUGUCUGUGGGACUGGCGUGGAGACUCUGGGAAGAAAGCUCAAAGGGAAAAGAGCCCCCAAGACAAACCUGAAGAACCCCAAACACCUGGGGAGACUCUGGGGAAGGGCUGGAUUUCCUCACGGCAGGUUAUAGGUAAAAUGAUCCCUGCCACUGAGAGGCUUACAAGUAUGUUGGGACUCAGCCAUGGAGAUGAGGCAGGUAGACACACAGAAUUGAAGGACGUCAGAGGUGGCAGGAACCUGGAGAUCAUGAGUCCAACCCCCCACUAA